AGUAUGUGGUAGUUGUAGUAUAAGGCAUAGUGACAUUGCCUUCUCUCUCAUCCUACUUUAAUAAGGCUUUGAUAUCUAGAGCUCAUAGGUGGGAGAUAAAGUAUACAUACUUACAAGACAUUUAUUACAUAGUCAAACAAUGGAUCCAGAGAAACAAGUCAAUAAGUCAAAUCAAGAUGUGCAUGUGUGGUGAAUGAAUGGUGUAUGGUGAUGAUGGUGAUAACAAUGGUGAAAGUCUAAUUCUACUUUUGCUCUUUUGAGCGGAUACACACCUUCCUUGCACUUUGAAGCAUUUUGGGGAGAAUGAGAUGCUCUAUAUAUUUUUUUUUCUUUUCUCUCAGGUGGGUAUCUUGUACCCCUAAUUCUACUGUCGGACACUUGUCCAUUUUUACCUCUCGUCUCACUUUUUUCUUUUCUUCGAGGUUCCGGGCACUUGCUGUUGACACUAGCUAACACCACUUAGAUACUAGGUUGUCAUCCCUAGCAUGGCGCUAGAGUGUACAAAGGUAUUUAUAAAUGUAAAGGCUCUCUAGAAAAUAAUCUAUUCUAUCCGCAAGCGCACAGAUAAAACACCUCAUUGUAGCAUUUCACCAGGAUAAGUAUUCCAGGUAUCGUUAUUUAUAAUUUUGCUCUAGGGAUCUAAAGAAGAUGGAAUUAAAACAAAGGGGCAAAAUCUAUCAAGGCAUAGACUAGAGAUAAACUUGCAAGAACAUGAUUACUAAUGAGAAACUCGUCACACAGUCACUUACUUUAGCAGGGGGUAAACCAUAAAGAUAAUGAUAAUAAAGUAUAAGUUCAUGGGAUAAAGAGCACAGCGAUUAGAAAAUAGACUACUCCUCAUAUAUGUAGGUGAUGUCGGAUUAGCUAGAGAAUGGAUUCUAAGUUAUCUACUAACUACUAAGUCAUAAUCUACUCUAGUUAUCUACAAGAUCAUAUAUAGCAUAAAAGACUCUUCAUUCAUGUAUAAGGAACAUUGAUAAAGUAAAGCAGAACAUCGCAUGACUUACUCCACAAUACCGGUUCUGCCUGUCCUAUCAACGGAGGGUGGACUAUAUAAGAAUCAACGAAGCUGUCACUAUCGCGAACUACCACACGACUCGGCCAAUAGGAUACAUUUGCAGAUAAAUAACAUCUAAGCACCACGCUCACAUGUGAUCUAUCAC
rnacentral:lncRNA from 1 species